rnacentral:rRNA from 1 species
UACGUAGGGGGCAAGCGUUGUCCGGAUUUAUUGGGCGUAAAGAGCGUGUAGGCGGUCUGGUAGGUCCGUUGUGAAAACUCGAGGCUCAACCUCGAGACGCCGAUGGAAACCAUCAGACUAGAGUCCGGAAGAGGAGAGUGGAAUUCCUGGUGUAGCGGUGAAAUGCGCAGAUAUCAGGAGGAACACCAAUUGCGAAGGCAGCUCGCUGGGACGUUACUGACGCUGAGACGCGAAAGCGUGGGGAGCAAACAGG